rnacentral:rRNA from 1 species
UACAGAGGGGGCAAGCGUUGUUCGGAAUUACUGGGCGUAAAGGGCGCGUAGGCGGCCCGCUAAGUCGAACGUGAAAUCCCCGAGCUCAACUCGGGAACUGCGUCCGAGACUGGCGGGCUUGAAUCCGGGAGAGGGAUGCGGAAUUCCAGGUGUAGCGGUGAAAUGCGUAGAUAUCUGGAGGAACAUCGGUGGCGAAGGCGGCAUCCUGGACCGGUAUUGACGCUGAGGCGCGAAAGCCAGGGGAGCAAACGGG